AUGCCUAGUGCAAUCUUAAUUAUGUGGUUACCAUCGUUGAUUCUUUGUAGGAAGCUCAAAGGAAGCAAGACUGCAACAAAAAUCUCUGAAUGCACUCCAAGCUUCUGUACGGCAUACAUCGUUUCGAAGGGCAAACUGUCAUUCGUGCACUCUGCUACAUCUGAUCCCUGCGAAAUACCCAAGACCAUAUCUUCUUCAACUGUUUCUUCAUUUAGCUCCAGAAGCCUUUCCAAUGCACCCUCAGAGUGGGAUGACAAAAAUGGAACAACAGCUGUAUUACUCCGCCAUUCAUCUGUGUCAUCGCAGCGUGAUCACGCACUGACACACUCGCAAAUAUAA
rnacentral:rRNA from 1 species